GAGUUUGAGCCUGGAUCUAAUUGGACGCUGGCGGUAUGCUUAACGCAUGCUAGUCGAACGGUAACAGGCCUUCGGGCGCUGACGAGUGGCGGACGGGUGAGUAACGCGUAGGAAUCUGCCUUAUAGUGGGGGACAACGUGGGGAAACCCACGCUAAUACCGCAUACGCCCUACGGGGGAAAGGAGGGGAUCUUCGGACCUUUCGCUAUGAGAUGAGCCUGCGUUAGAUUAGCUAGUUGGUAGGGUAAAGGCCUACCAAGGCGACGAUCUAUAGCUGGUCUGAGAGGACGAUCAGCCACACUGGGACUGAGACACGGCCCAGACUCCUACGGGAGGCAGCAGUGGGGAAUAUUGGACAAUGGGCGAAAGCCUGAUCCAGCAAUACCGCGUGUGUGAAGAAGGCCUUAGGGUUGUAAAGCACUUUCAAUUGGGAGGAAAACCUGCCGGUCAAUACCCGGUAGCUUGACAUUACCUUUAGAAGAAGCACCGGCUAACUCCGUGCCAGCAGCCGCGGUAAUACGGAGGGUGCGAGCGUUAAUCGGAAUUACUGGGCGUAAAGCGUGCGUAGGUGGUUCGUUAAGUCAGAUGUGAAAGCCCUGGGCUCAACCUGGGAACUGCAUUUGAAACUGGCGGACUAGAGUUUAGUAGAGGGGAGUGGAAUUUCAGGUGUAGCGGUGAAAUGCGUAGAUAUCUGAAGGAACACCAGUGGCGAAGGCGACUCCCUGGACUAAAACUGACGCUGAGGUACGAAAGCGUGGGUAGCAAACAGGAUUAGAUACCCUGGUAGUCCACGCCGUAAACGAUGUCGACUAGCCGUUGGUCCUAUUUACAGGAUUAGUGGCGCAGCUAACGCAUUAAGUCGACCGCCUGGGGAGUACGGCCGCAAGGUUAAAACUCAAAUGAAUUGACGGGGGCCCGCACAAGC
rnacentral:rRNA from 1 species